AUGCAGUCAUUCUAAAGCAAGGGUAAAAUGCAGUCAGCUGCUUCAAUUGGAAAAUUUUACAAUUCAAACUGAGGAGGAUUUAAUUCAAUUUAAUGAAGAAAUCACUGCCGUUGAAGUAGUUGCUGCAUCAAUAAGACGCGUUAUGUUAUUGACAAACAACUAAUUACCCGAAAAAUUGCGUGGAAUUUUGGAGAAAGUAUACUCAUAACUAAUGUUGCUUUAAGGACAAAUGGUACGCCGGAACAAGUGAUCGAGUCGAGUCUGGAAAUCUCUUCAAGGUUCUAAUAACAAUUUCA